rnacentral:rRNA from 1 species
UACGUAGGGUGCAAGCGUUGUCCGGAAUUAUUGGGCGUAAAGAGCUCGUAGGCGGUCUGUCGCGUCGGCUGUGAAAACCCGGAGCUCAACUCCGGGCCUGCAGUCGAUACGGGCAGACUGGAGUUCGGCAGGGGAGACUGGAAUUCCUGGUGUAGCGGUGAAAUGCGCAGAUAUCAGGAGGAACACCGGUGGCGAAGGCGGGUCUCGU